CCUACGGGAGGCUGCAGUGGGGAAUAUUGGACAAUGGGGGGAACCCUGAUCCAGCCAUGCCGCGUGUGUGAAGAAGGCCCUCGGGUUGUAAAGCACUUUCAGUGAGGAAGAACGCCUGGUGGUUAAUACCCAUCAGGAAAGACAUCACUCACAGAAGAAGCACCGGCUAACUCCGUGCCAGCAGCCGCGGUAAUACGGAGGGUGCGAGCGUUAAUCGGAAUUACUGGGCGUAAAGCGCGCGUAGGUGGCUUGAUAAGCCGGUUGUGAAAGCCCCGGGCUCAACCUGGGAACGGCAUCCGGAACUGUCAAGCUAGAGUGCAGGAGAGGAAGGUAGAAUUCCCGGUGUAGCGGUGAAAUGCGUAGAGAUCGGGAGGAAUACCAGUGGCGAAGGCGGCCUUCUGGACUGACACUGACACUGAGGUGCGAAAGCGUGGGUAGCAAACAGGAUUAGAUAUCCGAGUAGUC
rnacentral:rRNA from 1 species